ACGGAGAGUUUGAUCCUGGCUCAGAACUAACGCUUGUGGUGUGUCUUAGUCAUGCAAGUCGAACGAGAAAGUCGCCUUCGGGUGACGAGUACAGUGGCGAACGGGUGAGUAACACGUGGGCAACUUGCCCCCGGGUUGGGGAUAACACUUCUAACGAGGUGCUAAUACCGAAUGAUAUGGCGAGUUUAUGACUCGUUAUUAAAGAUGGCCUCUACUUGUAAGCUGUCGCCUGGGGAUGGGCCCGCGUCGUAUUAGCUAGUUGGUGGGGUAAUGGCCUACCAAGGCGACGAUGCGUAGCCGGCCUGAGAGGGUGAACGGUCACACUGGCACUGAGACAAGGGCCAGUCUCCUACGGGAGCCAGCAGUCUAGAAAUUUGCACAAUCGUCGAAAGGCGGAUGCAGCGACACCACGUGGAGGAUGAAGCC
rnacentral:rRNA from 1 species